GUAAGUAACUUCGGUAAUUGAAGUACUUGGUAGUAUCGUUAGUGGCGGACGGGGUGAGUAACGCGUGAGCAACCUGCCUUUCUAGAGGGGGAGUAACGUUUGGAAACGAACGCUAAUACGCAUGACAUUAUCUUAUCGCAUGGUAGGAUAAUCAAAGGAGCAAUCCGCUGAAGAUGGGCUCGCGUCCGACUUAGGUAGUUGGUGGGGUAACGGCCCACCCAAGCCGACCGAUCGGUAGCCGGACUGAGAGGUUGGACGGCCACAUUGGGACUGAGACACGGCCCAGACUCCUACGGGAGGCAGCAGUAAGGGAUAUUGGUCAAUGGGGGAAACCCUGAACCAGCAACGCCGCGUGAGGGAAGACGGUUUUCGGAUUGUAAACCUCCGUCCUCUGUGAAGAUGAUGACGGUAGCAGAGGAGGAAGCUCCGGCUAACUACGUG
rnacentral:rRNA from 1 species